ACUGAGCGUGGUGACAUCGCACGGGGUGGGGCACUGUGUAGAAAACAGCCCUGUUCGAUUGGACCAGGAAACCCUCGUGCUACCAACAACCGUGGUUAACUUUGAGGAGAAAGGAAAGGACUUUUUUUUUUUUUUCUUAUUCUUCACUUUGAAGGGGAGUGUAAACUAUAAAGUUACCGCCACUCAGGGAAGGAAACCCGGUGUAAUCCCAUGUCCCCCAAACCUUCCCGACUCUAUCUGGCUCUUCUUGGGACACCCCAGACUCCACUGCUCCGGGGUCCCUCUCCUCUGGGUUUGGAAGUCCCUCGGUUUCUGCUGGAACCGCCACGUCCAGGGCUUCACCUCGCCAAGAGACAGCGAUCCUCGGGAUGGAGGGAGUGGGUCGGUGGAGGCAUCGGGGAGAACUCCAGGCAGAAAAUUAAAGCUCUCCUUCGUCUCUAUUUUCCCAAACUUUCGAUGCCUCUGCUUUCUUCUGCCGGUGCUCUACCCUCCAGACGCUGGUUCCUACUGGACACGUUGAAUCUUUCAUUGGCCUGGAACUCACCAAAGAGACUAAGAUGGCUAGCCAGGAAGCCCCAUGGAUCUGCCUGAGUGCCUCACAGGCAUUGGGAUGACAAGCACCAUGGCUUCUAGAGAUGGAACUCAGAUCUGAGCUACAGCUCCAAGCCUCUUUCCUGACAACAAGUUAAAAGUAAUUUUUUCAUAAACAUGUUUAUGAUGCUCCUUACAAUGUUUGCCAUUUGACAAAGUAGAAUAAAGCCUUUUCCAAACAAGUUCAAGUAGGAGGAUUCUGACACUUUAUCAACAUUUGUUUAAAUGAACAGUACAUAGCAUAGUUAGUGGAAGGGAGAAUUAAUCCUGCUUUCUGACCCUCAGAGCACCUACAUAGGUCCAGGAGUGUCCUGACAUUUUCCCUAUCCCAGGGAGUAGAUGUCUCAGUCCCAUCUGAUACUUGAUUGCUCUUGCAGGUACAAGAAAACGGAAGUGGCUUGGAAUUUUCCUUCUGCUCUUCCCCUCAGACUGUAAUCAUCCUGAAAGGAGCAAAAACAUUCUAAAAAGUGCCUGUCCCUUGGAUUGUCAGACCACUGAGGCAGUGGACCCUGAGGACUCUGAAAUUGCCUGGGGAUCUCACACUAGAAAAAAGGGAAAGGCUGGUGGCAGCCGGAGGAGGAAUGUGACUCUCAGGAAGAGAUUUCACACAGUUCUGACAACUUGUCAGAGCAUCAGGCCGGACCUAAUGGAGCCUGGACAAGGAUUGGUCAGUUUACUAGCAAGACCACACCUUGACCAGGACUGCUUAACUAUGCAUACCUUUUGCCUCUGUUUAAACCUAAGCUUCAUCAAAACCUAGAAGAAGGAUUUGUGGAUCACUAGGCCUCUUUAUUUGUUAAUAUGAUAUGAAAGUUUGUGCAUAGUCUUA